AUGGGGGCUGGGAGGAAGAGGCUGAUGGCUGGGCCUGGAAUCCCUCCUCUCCCCUGCCCUAGCCCCCGGCCGCUCUCCAUCUGGCCAGCAGCUCCCCCGCUGCCCCAGGACAAGGGCCCCAGUGUCUGCUCCCUUCCUGGGCAAACAGCAAGCCUUUCUCUCCCUCUCCCCCUAGAGCGGAGUGCCUCGACCAUGACCUCUCCCCGCCCCCUCCAGAGGGCAUGGCACGCCCCUUGCUGCGCGACCUCUUCUGAAUGCUCCAGAGACAAAGGCUGGCAAGCCGGGUGCAGGAGGGGGUCCUGUCUGCCAGGUUCAGCCCUCAGCCGGCCCCCAGGCCUCCGUCCUGCCAAGGCUCACCGCGUUGACAUGAGCUCACUCCUCCAGACCUGCUUACCUUGCUGGCAGGUGGAGCGUAAGGGCCUGGACAGUUUCCCCUCACACGGCAGGGCCCCCUCCCCGAGCCUGGAAAGACGCAGAACUGCCAGAGGCCUCCCUCUUCUCCGGGGCUCCUGCCAAGGUCCUGACCCGGGCACCGAAAUAGGGUAACCUCAGAGGGUAACGGGGAGCUGUAAUCAGACAGCCUCCCCUGGAGCCUCCACCACCCUCCAGUUCUGACUCAGAAUGAUAGGGAGCGAGUGCAGCCCAGCCCUGCACCCCUUACUUCCUCCUUCUGGCCAGUGGCUACUCAACAGCUGAUUAUUCUACUGGGGAGAGGACAUGGAAGUCUGCUUUGUGGAUAAAAUCUUCUGUCUUAUAAACGUCUCUCCUCCUAAAAAUUCAUGUUGAUAUGGUGUGUGUGCGUGCUCAGUCGCUUCAGACGUGUCUGACUCUGUGUGCGACCUGUGGACUGUGGCCCGCCAGGCUCCUCUGUCCAUGGGAUUCUCCACGAAAGAAUACUGGACUGGGUUGCUGUGCCCUCCUCCAGGGGAUCUUCCUGACCCAGGGAUCAAACCCACAUCUAUUACAUCUCCUGCAUUGGCAGGAGUGUUCUUCACCACUAAUGCCUCCUGGGAAGCCUUAAUGUAUGGCAGAAACCACCGAUUAAAAAUAAAUACAUUUAAAAAAAAAAGUCCCUUCUUUGG
rnacentral:lncRNA from 1 species